rnacentral:rRNA from 1 species
UACGUAGGGAGCAAGCGUUGUCCGGAAUCAUUGGGCGUAAAGCGCGCGUAGGUGGCUUCGUAAGUCCGUUGUGAAAGUCAAAGGCUCAACCUUUGAAAGCCGAUGGAUACUGCGGAGCUAGAGUACGGAAGAGGCGAGUGGAAUUCCUGGUGUAGCGGUGGAAUGCGCAGAUAUCAGGAGGAACACCGAUGGCGAAGGCAGGUCUCUGGGCUGACACUGACGCUCAUGCACGAAAGCGUGGGGAGCAAACAGG